CCUACGGUGGGCAGCAGUCGAGAAUCAUUCACAAUGGGGGAAACCCUGAUGGUGCGACGCCGCGUGGGGGAAUGAAGUUCUUCGGAUUGUAAACCCCUGUCAUGUGGGAGCAAAUUAAAAAGCUCGUACCCCACGAUGAAGAGCCGGCUAACUCGGUGCCCGCAGCCACGGUAAUACAGAGGUCUCAAGCGUUGUUCGGAAUCACUGGGCGUAAAGCGUGCGGAGGCUGUUUUGUAAGUCGUGUGUGAAAGGCGCGGGCUCAACCCGCGGACGGCACAUGAUACUGCGAGACUAGAGUACGGGAGGGGGAUGCGGAAUGCUCGGUGUAGCAGUGAAAUGCGUAGAUAUCGCGCGGAACACUCGUGGCGAAGGCGGGUUCCUGGACAUUAACUGACGCUGAGGCACGAAGGCCAGGGGAGCGAAAGGGAUUAGAUACCCCUGUAGUC
rnacentral:rRNA from 1 species